UACGGAGGGUGCAAACGUUGCUCGGAAUCAUUGGGCGUAAAGCGCACGUAGGCGGCCUGAUAAGUCGGGUGUGAAAGCCCUGGGCUCAACCCAGGAAGUGCACUCGAAACUGUCAGGCUUGAAUAUGGAAGAGGGUCGCGGAAUUCCCGGUGUAGAGGUGAAAUUCGUAGAUAUCGGGAGGAACACCAGUGGCGAAGGCGGCGACCUGGGCCAAUAUUGACGCUGAGGUGCGAAAGCGUGGGAGCAAACAG
rnacentral:rRNA from 1 species